rnacentral:rRNA from 1 species
UACGGAGGGUGCAAGCGUUAUCCGUAUUCACUGGGUUUAAAGGGUGCGUAGGUGGGCAGGUAAGUCAGUGGUGAAAUCUCCGGGCUUAACUCGGAGACUGCCAUUGAUACUAUCUGUCUUGAAUACCGUGGAGGUUAGCGGAAUAUGUCAUGUAGCGGUGAAAUGCUUAGAUAUGACAUAGAACACCAAUUGCGAAGGCAGCUGGCUACACGAAUAUUGACACUGAUGCACGAAAGCGUGGGGAUCAAACAGG